UACGGAGGAUGCGAGCGUUAUCCGGAUUUAUUGGGUUUAAAGGGUGCGUAGGCGGGAUGAUAAGUCAGUGGUGAAAACCUGCAGCUUAACUGUAGACUUGCCGUUGAUACUGUUGUUCUUGAGUAUGGUCAAGGCAGGCGGAAUGUGUAAUGUAGCGGUGAAAUGCUUAGAUAUUACACAGAACACCGAUUGCGUAGGCAGCUUACUGAGCCGACACUGACGCUGAGGCACGAAAGCGUGGGGAUCGAACAGGAUUAGAUACCCUGGUAGUCCACGCCGUAAACGAUGAUUACUCGCUGUUGGCGAUACACUGUCAGCGGCUAAGCAAAAGCAAUAAGUAAUCCACCUGGGGAGUACGGCCGCAAGGUUGAAACUCAAAGGAAUUGACGGGGGCCCGCACAAGCGGAGGAACAUGUGGUUUAAUUCGAUGAUACGCGAGGAACCUUACCUGGGCUUAAAUGUAGAGUGCAUUUUCUAGAGAUAGGAAUUCCCUUCGGGGCUUUCUGCAAGGUGCUGCAUGGUUGUCGUCAGCUCGUGCCGUGAGGUGUCGGGUUAAGUCCCAUAACGAGCGCAACCCCUAUUCUUAGUUGCCAUCAGGUAAUGCUGGGAACUCUAAGAAAACUGCCUACGCAAGUAGUGAGGAAGGUGGGGAUGACGUCAAAUCAGCACGGCCCUUAUGUCCAGGGCUACACACGUGUUACAAUGGCCGGUACAGAGGGCAGCUACCUGGUGACAGGAUGCUAAUCCCGAAAGCCGGUCCCAGUUCGGAUUGGAGUCUGCAACCCGACUCCAUGAAGUUGGAUUCGCUAGUAAUC
rnacentral:rRNA from 1 species